CAAAACUGCACGGUAGGGGCCUUAGUAAUCGGCGCGCGCUCCAGCUGGUGUCCAAGCAAUGACGGUUCACUGAAAGCAUGCGGAUUGCACUUGCCCAAGAAGUUCAAGAGAUUACUCUGCAGGGUUGCACUCGAAGGCACCUGCAGAAUAUUCCGGAACUUCUUCACACGCACAUAAGCACCUAAUAAAAAAAAAAACCAAAAACAUUGAUAAAAUUACAAAAGACAAAAACACUAUAAAACCCAAAUAAAACAAAAAAAUGCCCUGCAUGUUACCUUGCAUGCUGCCGCCGCUCCACCAGCUCCAUUCUCUGGAGCAUAGGGCAACGGCACACCUAACACUACUUUUAGGCCUGACGGUGAAGAUUUGAAGACUGAAGCCGACGACCCCGACGCAGAGCCCUGGCAGAAACCCACACACUCGCCGCCACUUGUGGAGAAACCACAGAAGAUCGGAACGCUGAGGAACAGUCAGAACCAUAUACGAAACCCCAAACACCGCGAACAACUGAAAAUCCAGAAAUCCAAAGAAGAAGCAGGCUGAACCGAACGACUGCACGAAGCGAUUGCGCACGAAGAUCAGACCACAAUUAGACGCCAAAACGCGACACCACUCACCCCCAGAAGCAGGGCCCAUAACUGAUGUCCCACACUCUAUAACCCCCACCACUUCUCUCCCCCCAUUAGUAUUGUUAAAACACGGUACCGGCCGUUAACCGGGCUGCACUGCAGUACAUCAAGAAUUGAUUUAUGUUGUAAAAUUGGUUAGAAUCUGUCUCUAAUAAAGUCCCAUUGGUGCGCGUCACAAAUUAGACUGACGGCAGCAGGCACUUUCCUUCGUGAGAGCCCUGCAAAUUCAGCAACUAGCCAAAUGCCUCGUCAUCUAAUUAGUGACGCGUAUGAAUGGAUCAACAAGAUUCCUUCUGUCCCUAUCUACUAUCUAGCGAAACCACAGCCAAGGGAACGGGCUUGGCAAAAUCAGCGGGGAAAGAAGACCCUGUUGAGCUUGACUCUAGUCUGACUCUGGAGA
rnacentral:ncRNA from 1 species